rnacentral:rRNA from 1 species
GUAGGGAAUAUUGGACAAUGGGCGCAAGCCUGAUCCAGCCAUGCCGCGUGGAUGAUGAAGGCCUUCGGGUCGUAAAAUCCUUUUCUGAGGGAAGAACAUCCGGGACAGGAAAUGGUCUCGGCUUGACGGUACCUCAGGAAUAAGCAACGGCCAACUCCGUGCCAGCAGCCGCGGUAAUACGGAGGUUGCAAGCGUUGUUCGGAAUUACUGGGCGUAAAGGGAGCGCAGGCGGCUUGGCGAGUCUGGAGUGAAAGCCCGGGGCUCAACCCCGGAAGUGCUUUGGAUACUACCAAGCUUGAGUACGUGAGAGGAGAGCGGAAUUCCAGGUGUAGCGGUGAAAUGCGUAGAUAUCUGGAGGAACACCGGUGGCGAAAGCGGCUCUCUGGCGCGAUACUGACGCUCAGGCUCGAAAGCGUGGGGAGCGAACGGGAUUAGAAACCCGAGUAGUCC